rnacentral:rRNA from 1 species
GUGGCAGACGGGUGAGUAACAUGUGGGUAUCUACCCUUUGGCCUGGAAUAACACGAGGAAACUUGUGCUAAUACCGGAUAAGUCUUUACGGAGAAAGCUUUAUGCACCAUUGGAUGAGCCCGCACUUGAUUAGUUUGUUGGUAGGGUAAUGGCCUACCAAGACUAUGAUCAAUAGCUGAUUUGAGAGGAUGAUCAGCCACAUUGGGACUGAGACACGGCCCAAACUCCUACGGGAGGCAGCAGUGGGGAAUCUUGCACAAUGGAGGAAACUCUGAUGCAGCGAUGCCGCGUGAGUGAAGAAGGCCUUUGGGUUGUAAAGCUCUUUCGUCGGGGAAGAAAAUGACUGUACCCGAAUAAGAAGGUCCGGCUAACUUCGUGCCAGCAGCCGCGGUAAUACGAAGGGACCUAGCGUAGUUCGGAAUUACUGGGCUUAAAGAGUUCGUAGGUGGUCGAAAAAGUUGGUGGUGAAAUCCCA